rnacentral:rRNA from 1 species
UAACCUGCCCAAGAGAUCGGGAUAACACCUGGAAACAGAUGCUAAUACCGGAUAACAACAGAUGAUGCCUAUCAACUGUUUAAAAGAUGGUUCUGCUAUCACUAUUGGAUGGACCUGCGGUGCAUUAGCUAGUUGGUAGGGUAACGGCCUACCAAGGCGAUGAUGCAUAGCCGAGUUGAGAGACUGAUCGGCCACAUUUGGGACUGAGACACGGCCCAAACUCCUACGGGAGGCAGCAGUU